UGCUCUCCUGUGGUACCAGACACA
rnacentral:misc_RNA from 1 species